rnacentral:rRNA from 1 species
UACGAAGGGGCUAGCGUUGCUCGGAAUCACUGGGCGUAAAGGGUGCGUAGGCGGGUCUUUAAGUCAGGGGUGAAAUCCUGGAGCUCAACUCCAGAACUGCCUUUGAUACUGAGGAUCUUGAGUUCGGGAGAGGUGAGUGGAACUGCGAGUGUAGAGGUGAAAUUCGUAGAUAUUCGCAAGAACACCAGUGGCGAAGGCGGCUCACUGGCCCGAUACUGACGCUG